rnacentral:rRNA from 1 species
ACCAUGCAGUCGACGAUGAUCUGGAGCUUGCUCCAGGGAUUAGUGGCGAACGGGUGAGUAACACGUGAGUAACCUGCCCUUGACUCUGGGAUAAGCGCUAGAAAUGGCGUCUAAUACCGGAUACGAGCUUCAGCCGCAUGGCUAGGAGUUGGAAAGAAUUUUGGUCAAGGAUGGACUCGCGGCCUAUCAGCUAGUUGGUGAGGUAAUGGCUCACCAAGGCGACGACGGGUAGCCGGCCUGAGAGGGUGACCGGCCACACUGGGACUGAGACACGGCCCAGACUCCUACGGGAGGCAGCAGUGGGGAAUAUUGCACAAUGGGCGAAAGCCUGAUGCAGCAACGCCGCGUGAGGGAUGACGGCCUUCGGGUUGUAAACCUCUUUUAGUAGGGAAGAAGCGAAAGUGACGGUACCUGCAGAAAAAGCACCGGCUAACUACGUGCCAGCAGCCGCGGUAAUACGUAGGGUGCAAGCGUUGUCCGGAAUUAUUGGGCGUAAAGAGCUCGUAGGCGGUUUGUCGCGUCUGCUGUGAAAUCUGGGGGCUCAACCCCCAGCCUGCAGUGGGUACGGGCAGACUAGAGUGCGGUAGGGGAGAUUGGAAUUCCUGGUGUAGCGGUGGAAUGCGCAGAUAUCAGGAGGAACACCGAUUGCGAAGCAGAUCUCUGGGCCGUAACUGACGCUGAUGAGCGAAAGCAUGGGGAGCGAACAGGAUUAGAUACCCUGGUAGUCCAUGCCGUAAACGUUGGGAACUAGAUGUGGGGGCCAUUCCACGGUCUCCGUGUCGCAGCUAACGCAUUAAGUUCCCCG